rnacentral:rRNA from 1 species
AAGUCGUAACAAGGUUUCCGUAGGUGAACCUGCGGAAGGAUCAUUAUUGAAUAAGCUUGGUUGGGUUGUUGCUGGCUCUCAGGGGCAUGUGCACGCCUAACACCAACUUUUACCACCUGUGCACAUUUUGUAGACCUGGAUAAAACUCUCGAGGAAACUCGGUUUGAGGAAUGCUGUGCGCAAGCCAGCUUUCCUUGUACUUCUGGUCUAUGUUUUUAUAUAUACACACACCCCUAUAGUAUGUCUCGGAAUGUUUGUUUGUUGGGCUUGAAUGCCUUUAAACUUAAUACAACUUUCAACAACGGAUCUCUUGGCUCUCGCAUCGAUGAAGAACGCAGCGAAAUGCGAUAAGUAAUGUGAAUUGCAGAAUUCAGUGAAUCAUCGAAUCUUUGAACGCACCUUGCGCUCCUUGGUAUUCCGAGGAGCAUGCCUGUUUGAGUGUCAUGAAAUUCUCAACCUUUUCAGCUUUUUCUGUUGAUCAGGCUUGGAUGUGGGAGUAUGCGGGCUUCUCAGAAGUCGGCUCUCCUGAAAUGCAUUAGCGGGACCUUUGUUGCCUUGCUUUGGUNUGNUUUAUCUACGCCAUUCGUGAAGAGCAGCUUUAUANNNNNNNACUGCGAGUGAGCGGGAAAAGCUCAAAUUUAAAUCUGAGGGUCUUUAUGGNNUUCCGAGUUGUAAUCUAGAGAAGUGCUAUCCGCGCUGGACCGNGUACAAGUCUCCUGGAACGGAGCGUCAUAGAGGGUGAGAAUCCCGUCUUUGACACGGACUACCAGGGCUUAUGUGAUACGCUCUCAAAGAGUCGAGUUGUUUGGGAAUGCAGCUCUAAAUGGGUGGUAAAUUCCAUCUAAAGCUAAGUAUUGGCGAGAGACCGAUAGCGAACAAGUACCGUGAGGGAAAGAUGAAAAGAACUUUGGAAAGAGAGUUAAAAAGUACGUGAAAUUGUUGAAAGGGAAACGCUUGAAGUCAGUCGCAUUGGCCAGGGAUCAACCUUGCUUUUGCUUGGUGUAUUUUCUGGUUAAUGGGUCAGCAUCAAUUUUGAUCGGUGGAAAAAGAUCAAGGGAAUGUGGCAUCUUCGGAUGUGUUAUAGCCCUUGGUUGUAUACAUCGAUUGGGAUUGAGGAACUCAGCACGCCGCAAGGCCGGGUUUUUAACCACGUACGUGCUUAGGAUGCUGGCAUAAUGGCUUUAAUCGACCCGUCUUGAAACACGGACC